rnacentral:rRNA from 1 species
UACGUAGGGUGCGAGCGUUGCCCGGAUUUAUUGGGCGUAAAGAGCUCGUAGGCGGUUCGGUAAGUCGGAUGUGAAAUCUCCACGCUCAACGUGGAGGGGCCAUUCGAUACUGCCGUGACUCGAGUCCGGUAGGGGAGUGUGGAAUUCCCGGUGUAGCGGUGAAAUGCGCAGAGAUCGGGAGGAACACGCGGAGCGAAGGCGGCACUCUGGGCCGGUACUGACGCUGAGGAGCGAAAGCGUGGGGAGCAAACAGG